ACUCUUUCUCUACACGACUGACUUCUGAUGUUCUGGAUGAGGGUGGGGGUCCUCAGUGGCUAGCGUUGGGCUGUUUCCAGAAAAGAGGCCUUUCAGUUUGGAUUAAAUCAGCUCCCACUCUCU